CCUACGGGAGGCAGCAGUGAGGAAUAUUGGUCAAUGGACGAGAGUCUGAACCAGCCAAGUAGCGUGAAGGAUGACUGCCCUAUGGGUUGUAAACUUCUUUUAUAUGGGAAUAAAACGUUCCACGUGUGGGAUUUUGUAUGUACCAUAUGAAUAAGGAUCGGCUAACUCCGUGCCAGCAGCCGCGGUAAUACGGAGGAUCCGAGCGUUAUCCGGAUUUAUUGGGUUUAAAGGGAGCGUAGGUGGAUUGUUAAGUCAGUUGUGAAAGUUUGCGGCUCAACCGUAAAAUUGCAGUUGAAACUGGCAGUCUUGAGUACAGUAGAGGUGGGCGGAAUUCGUGGUGUAGCGGUGAAAUGCUUAGAUAUCACGAAGAGCUCCGAUUGCGAAGGCAGUUCACUGGACUGCAACUGACACUGAGGCUCGAAAGUGUGGGUAUCAAACAGGAUUAGAUACCCCAGUAGUC
rnacentral:rRNA from 1 species